CCCUUAGACGUUCUGGGCCGCACGCGCGCUACACUGACCAGUGCAACAAGCAUCCGUCCUUGGCCGACAGGCUCGGGCAAUCUUUGAACGCUGGUCGUGAUGGGGAUAGACUUUUGCAAUUUUUGGUCUUCAACGAGGAAUUCCUAGUAAACGCAAGUCAUCAACUUGCAUUGAUUACGUCCCUGCCCUUUGUACACACCGCCCGUCGCACCUACCGAUUGAAUGGCCCGGUGAAGCCUCCGGAUUGGCGCGCACCUCGGUGCCGCCGAGAAGUUGGCUAAACCUUACCAUUUAGAGGAAGGUGAAGUCGUAACA
rnacentral:rRNA from 1 species